CAGUUUAAUCGAGUGCAGACUUUCUCUCAACCUGCGAUCAUGCGCAACCCCUAUUUGACAAGAACCGACAACUGACCAGCCUCCUGGAGACACGUUGCCAUGGUGAUCGGAAAACCUGUGGUCAGCAGGACACCUCCGCCUGAGGGCUUAUUUCCUACAGCACCCAUUAGAUACCAUCAGCGGAGGAAACGGGACACACACUGCGUGUUUUUGUGGACAGCCAGAUUUUCUCUCAACUCUGCGAUCAUGCGCGUGACUCCCGUGUGACAAGAACCGAGAACUGACCAGCUGCCCGGACACGCGUUGCCAUGGUGAUUGGAAACCCUGCAUGACGUCAAUAGGACGCCUCCCUCUGAGGUCUUAAUUCCAACGGGACAGUUAGGUUCUAUCUGUGGAGGGAACGGGACACUUUUUUUGUGGACAGGCAGGUAUUCUGGACAAAGGGGUUUUUUGAACAGAGGACACGGAGGAGGCUGAAUCCAGAGAUCGUUCAUUCAGAAUGAAAAAGCCGGACUAGACGUGUUCUCGUGGUCUGGGACGGGCGAACUAAGAGAAGCGAGGUUCCGAAAUCGUGGUCGAGGGACCAGGCGAGCGGUUCUUAUCAAAGAGACGGAGAACAACGGGAUCGGGAAACAAUGAGAGACAGAACUUGGAAGAGCAAAGCGAGGUGGCUUUAAGGUAGACGAGGGGAGUGAGAUUCUGCAACUGAGAAGAGGUUUAGAAGUGUUUUUAGCCGAGUGCUGCUGGUUGAGGUGCGGGCAUGGUUGUGUGACAGCUACAGGUAUUCAUAAUUAGUAGAGAGAGAAAGAGAAGUAGUGUGUAUGGAUAUUAUUAAAACAUUAAAGAAACUUUCAUUUCACUUCCCAAUCGCUUUAUUGUUUCCACUUUAGUUUCAGUCGUGAUCGUUUUCCUUUUCUUUGAUGCAUCACCAUCACUUACAUCACAUUUUUGGUGCCAUGGUUACGAGGGUAAAAACAAAUUAAAAUCAAAUACAGUAACACACGAGACACUGUUACACAGCAACAUGGUUUGAUUGAAAAGAAGGAAGUCUUUGUCUUAUCUCGG
rnacentral:lncRNA from 1 species